UACGUAGGGCGCAAGCGUUGUCCGGAAUUAUUGGGCGUAAAGAGCUCGUAGGCGGCUUGUCACGUCGGUUGUGAAAGCCCGGGGCUUAACCCCGGGUCUGCAGUCGAUACGGGCUAGCUAGAGUGUGGUAGGGGAGAUCGGAAUUCCUGGUGUAGCGGUGAAAUGCGCAGAUAUCAGGAGGAACACCGGUGGCGAAGGCGGAUCUCUGGACAGUUCCUGACACUGAGGCACGAAGGCCAGGGGAGCAAACGGG
rnacentral:rRNA from 1 species